rnacentral:ncRNA from 2 species
GCAGAGUAGAUGUUUGCGCGUAAAGUGUCAGUCGGACGGGGAGUUGCCGCUGAACGAAGAACGGUUUUCAAAAACGGUUUGCGGUGCAAAUGUCGCAUCCCGCUGC